AACGAACGCUGGCGGCAUGCCUAACACAUGCAAGUCGAACGAGACCUUCGGGUCUAGUGGCGCACGGGUGCGUAACGCGUGGGAAUCUGCCCUUGGGUUCGGAAUAACAGUUGGAACCGACUGCUAAUACCGGAUGAUGACUUCGGUCCAAAGAUUUAUCGCCCAGGGAUGAGCCCGCGUAGGAUUAGCUUGUUGGUGAGGUAAAGGCUCACCAAGGCGACGAUCCUUAGCUGGUCUGAGAGGAUGAUCAGCCACACUGGGACUGAGACACGGCCCAGACUCCUACGGGAGGCAGCAGUGGGGAAUAUUGGACAAUGGGCGAAAGCCUGAUCCAGCAAUGCCGCGUGAGUGAUGAAGGCCUUAGGGUUGUAAAGCUCUUUUACCCGGGAUGAUAAUGACAGUACCGGGAGAAUAAGCCCCGGCUAACUCCGUGCCAGCCGCCGCGGUAA
rnacentral:rRNA from 1 species